rnacentral:rRNA from 1 species
UACGUAGGGUGCAAGCGUUAAUCGGAAUUACUGGGCGUAAAGCGUGCGCAGGCGGUUAUGUAAGACAGGUGUGAAAUCCCCGGGCUUAACCUGGGAACUGCAUUUGUGACUGCAUAGCUAGAGUACGGUAGAGGGGGAUGGAAUUCCGCGUGUAGCAGUGAAAUGCGUAGAUAUGCGGAGGAACACCGAUGGCGAAGGCAAUCCCCUGGACCUGUACUGACGCUCAUGCACGAAAAGCGUGGGGGAGCAAACAGG